rnacentral:rRNA from 1 species
AUUGAACGCUGGCGGAAUGCUUUACACAUGCAAGUCGAACGGUAGAGGGGGCAACCCCUUGAGAGUGGCGAACGGGUGAGUAAUAUAUCGGAACGUGCCCAGUCGUGGGGAUAACGUAGCGAAAGUUACGCUAAUACCGCAUACGAUCUACGGAUGAAAGCGGGGGACUCGCAAGAGCCUCGCGCGAUUGGAGCGGCCGAUAUCAGAUUAGGUAGUUGGUGGGGUAAAGGCUCACCAAGCCAACGAUCUGUAGCUGGUCUGAGAGGACGACCAGCCACACUGGAACUGAGACACGGUCCAGACUCCUACGGGAGGCAGCAGUGGGGAAUUUUGGACAAUGGACGCAAGUCUGAUCCAGCCAUUCCGCGUGCAGGAUGAAGGCCCUCGGGUUGUAAACUGCUUUUGUACGGAACGAAAGGUUUCUAUUAAUACUAGGAGCUCAUGACGGUACCGUAAGAAUAAGCACCGGCUAACUACGUGCCAGCAGCCGCGGUAAAGUGACU